CUAGCGUUGCUUAAACAAAGUGUUUUUACACCUAAAUAGCAGAGAAUUGAGUGAUAAGAUUGUAGGGGCAUGAUCUGUACACCAAAACCACUUAAUUAAUCUUAAGUUUUUUAGUGCUUUAAGCCUGGCCACUCUAAGGUCUGGUAAUAAUUAUUUCUAUCCUUUCCCAUUUUUACUGGUUGGUAGGUACUAACUUAUUUUGCUGAUGUUCCUCUCAUAUCCUCACAUUACUAAAAAAACAGCAUAGCUUUAUUAGAGCAAAGAAGUGCCAAAGGGCGGGGGAAGGCAAGCAUGCCCAAUGUAACAGUUAUUUAUUUCUUGAGGUUCACUUGUUCCUUUCAAUGCCUGCGAUUACCU